CCUUGUCAAUUUUUCACUAAUUCCUUGUUUAGUGAAUAAUCUUUUGUAUGUUUACGUACUUUGUCUGAUCUACCAUGUCUUCAUUGUAGGAAAAUAUGAACAUCCAUGAAGCAGUUUCCUGUUUAAUUAAGGAAAUGAUUGCCAAUGAGGAAGAUUCUGAACGUGCGAAUGACCCCAGUGUAGUAAAGCCAUCUCUUCGACCCCUAUCGCUACCUAUCUGCAAGAAUUGCUCACUUUGCUCAAGGUGAUGGCCUCGUGCAUUUCUAUAUGUGCGGAUUUAUGUCAUUGUAGUUGUUUCUGUUUAAAUUCGUGCCUAAUUUAAAAUGUGUAAAAACUGCAA